CCUACGGGUGGCAGCAGUGGGGAAUAUUGGACAAUGGGCGAAAGCCUGAUCCAGCCAUGCCGCGUGUGUGAAGAAGGCCUUCGGGUUGUAAAGCACUUUCAGUGGGGAAGAAAGCCUUGGGGCUAAUACCCUCGAGGAAGGACAUCACCCACAGAAGAAGCACCGGCUAACUCCGUGCCAGCAGCCGCGGUAAUACGGAGGGUGCGAGCGUUAAUCGGAAUUAUUGGGCGUAAAGCGCGCGUAGGCGGUCUGAUAAGCCGGUUGUGAAAGCCCCGGGCUCAACCUGGGAACGGCAUCCGGAACUGUCAGGCUAGAGUGCAGGAGAGGAAGGUAGAAUUCCCGGUGUAGCGGUGAAAUGCGUAGAGAUCGGGAGGAAUACCAGUGGCGAAGGCGGCCUUCUGGACUGACACUGACGCUGAGGUGCGAAAGCGUGGGUAGCAAACAGGAUUAGAUACCCCGGUAGUC
rnacentral:rRNA from 1 species